rnacentral:rRNA from 1 species
UACGUAGGGACCAAGCGUUGUCCGGAAUUACUGGGCGUAAAGAGCUCGUAGGUGGUUUGUCGCGUUGUUCGUGAAAACUCACAGCUUAACUGUGGGCGUGCGGGCGAUACGGGCAGACUGGAGUACUGCAGGGGAGACUGGAAUUCCUGGUGUAGCGGUGGAAUGCGCAGAUAUCAGGAGGAACACCGGUGGCGAAGGCGGGUCUCUGGGCAGUAACUGACGCUGAGGAGCGAAAGCGUGGGGAGCGAACAGG